rnacentral:rRNA from 1 species
AACGACUCUCGACAACGGAUAUCUCGGCUCUUGCAUCGAUGAAGAACGUAGCGAAAUGCGAUACUUGGUGUGAAUUGCAGAAUCCCGUGAACCAUCGAGUCUUUGAACGCAAGUUGCGCCCGAAACCAUUAGGUUGAGGGCACGUCUGCCUGGGUGUCACGC